rnacentral:lncRNA from 1 species
CACACUACCCUGCCCAGGUCCACACUACAUAUGGUAGCCGCUCCGUGCGGGUGGGGCGCGGCGCCUGGACGGGGGGGGGGGGGACGGACGGUCAACCCCGAGACCAGGAGAAGACGACAAGGCCGCGGACAUGUACAAGAUGCGCGGAGACCCCACACAGACCUGGCCCCAGUAGUCAGGUACGUGCAGCGGUCUGUGCAGCACUUGUGCGCGGUGCCUCACAGCAGGUUGACAGCCACACCACGAGGUGAGAUAGAUACGGCUGCUGGGCUCCCAGCCAGCGGGUGCGGAAGGGAGGCCCAGCCCAGGCACGGGUACGAGCUGUGCAGGCUGCGAGCGACGGCAGAGCGCCUAUAGUUACCAAUCGUUAUUCCAGCCUAAAGCAGCUCCUCAGAGCCCGCAGAGGCCAGCCAACAGCACAAAGUUCAAGGCAAAAGUAACAGCGGAGCGGAGCGGGGCGGGCG